UACGAGGGGGGCGAGCGUUGUUCGGAAUUAUUGGGCGUAAAGGGUGCGCAGGCGGCCGUGUGUGUGAGGCGUGAAAGCCCGGGGCUCAACCCCGGAAUUGCACCUCAAACUACAUGGCUAGAGCAUUGGAGAGGGUAGCGGAAUUCCUGGUGUAGCGGUGAAAUGCGUAGAUAUCAGGAGGAACACCUGCGGUGUAGACGGCUUUCUGGACCAUUGCUGACGCUGAGACACGAAAGCGUGGGUAGCAAACAGG
rnacentral:rRNA from 1 species